CGCCGAAAGAUCGGGACCCGUCUCGGUC
rnacentral:sRNA from 1 species